rnacentral:rRNA from 1 species
CCAAUAGAGGAUAUUAAAGUUGUUGCAGUUAAAAAGCUCGUAGUUGAAUUUCGGGGUUCUACCGUUGGUCGGGCUUUGUCUGUACUGGCGUGUGGAAUUUCUACCUUCUGAGGAACUAUCAUGUUAUUAAUUUAAUGUGGUGGGAAACCAGGACCUUUACCUUGCAAAAAUUAGAGUGUUCAAAGCAGGCUUAUGUCUGAAGAAAUUAGCAUGGAAUAAUAAAAUAGGACGGUGGUCCUGUUUUGUUGGUUUCUGAAUCACCGUAAUGAUUAAUAGGGAUAGUUGGGGGCAUUAGUAUUCAAUUGUCAGAGGUGAAAUUGUUGGAUUUAUUGAAGACUAACUUCUGCGAAAGCAUUUGCCAAGGAUGUUUUCAUUAAUCAAGAACGAAAGUUAGGGGAUCGAAGACGAUCAGAUACCGUCGUAGUCUUAACCAUAAACUAUGCCGACUAGGGAUCGGAUGAUGUUAAUUUUUUAAUGACUCAUUCGGCGCCUUACG